GGGGAGGGGGAGUGAGAGAAAGAGAAAGGAACUAUGGGGGUUGUCUUUCCAGAUCCUUUAGGUCAACAGUGGAUGAGGGACUACUGCAUUUGAGCUGCCUAAGGCAGAGUGGGGGAACAAAGGCGGGGGAGGACAGGCAGAUGUAAACUAAAGAUGGUGACUUUGCACAUGGCCUUGAGAGUUUGAUUGGGUUAGUCUUCGUCACAGAGAAGGAAUUCAAGGCCCUUUCCUGUCACUUGCUGGGUUCCCUGGACGUCUGGCUGAGAGUGGUGCUUGUGCCCCUGGUUCAUCCACCAUCUGGUUCUUCUCUACCUUCUGGAAGGAUCCUUCUUCCUCCGAGCCACUGGAGAACUUUGGCUUCUAUGGACUUCUCCUUUGGGAGGAUGUGCAAGGGCCUAACCCUGACCUUGCUCAGUCAACCAUUACUGAAUGGGUCAAAGGUCACUCUCUCCAGCUAAAACACCCAGUGAAUGGAUAUGAAGCUGCAAGAUGGUCACAGGAGAGUCCACAGAAGCCAGAAAGAUGCUGAGCUCAGAGAAGGCGAGGGAUAUUUACAGGAAAAGUAAAACCAUGCAGAGGUGCAGUGUACACACUCAUGCACACACACACAUACCACACAUACACCACACACACACACACACACACACACACGCACACACGCACGCACGCACGCACGCACGCACGUACACGCACAUCACAUGCACACACAACCCCGUUUAAUCAUGAUCUCCAGACAAGGCCUGGCAUUAGAUGAUUUAAAAAUAGGCUUGUUUGAAGCCAUCACUGGGCUGGGCCUUUCUUUGAUUUUGCUUCUAAUUAUGAAAGCUCUCAGGGGGAGGCCUCCAGCUGUCCAGCUUGCCCGCCCUCCCUGCUCUUUGGAAGGCUGUGGCUGUCACCAGCCUCCUACUUAUGGCUGCCAUUUCUGAGGCCCUGGCAACAGAGGUGGGGUGCCUCACCUCCUUGGUGAAGAUCCCCUGCAGAUAGGAGAAAUGACGUCUCCCACGUGUCCUCCCAUCUGAGACCCGAAGCAGAGGCCAAGUCAGCACCCAGGAUCCAGGAAGAAUACCCGCACAGUCCCCUUGAUGUCCUUGGGUGCUCAGCAGCUGACAGGACCCAGGAGGGACACUGAGAAAUCACGAGUGACCCCAAGCCUCUAGCUCUAGCGUGGAGCUCCUCCCCACCCUCUGGGCCCAGAAAAAUUACCUUCUGACCUGUGGAGAUUGGCUUUCUGGAGCUUACAUUUUCAUUCGUAUGACGUGUUUCAGCAACCAGCAUGUGUAACUGGCCUUGGAGAUCUCAAGAAUUCCCUUACAGUGGAUUUAUAAAUCAACACCUGUGAUGAAGUGACGGCUAUCUGCCCUUGUGCUGUGUGCCUUCCACAGCCCACUGCCUUCACUCAGGCUGUUUUUGGAACUGGUCCACAGCAUUCAUUCCACCCUGAUCCACCGGCAUCUCAAGCCUGCCUCAGAAUAUGUGCAAACAAAUAGAGCCCUGGCUUGUGGAUUUCCAGUGUUCGCAGUUCUAAAUGCUGAAGUGAGCAGCCUUCAGCGUGGAUCUCCGUUCGUGUUAGACCCCUAUCAGACCUUGUAGCCCUCUAGAUCCUAGCUUUCUAAACUGUAGGCCAUGACCUCGUGGGGUACAUAACUUCAUGGGAUCAUGAAGAAUACCACAACAGCUCAGGAGUUCAGAGUUCUGAGCAACACCCAAAGAUUAACUCAAAAUCGGUGUGUAUUGAGCCUGAGGUGCUUCUGAAAGGGCUGGCCUGUGUCUCAGGACCCCACUGCAGCUUUCGUUCUGGGAACAACUAUGUGUGCUCUGUACCUUACAUACAUCAUGCCGCAUGUCACUCCGUACACCACAGAAACCAGCCUAAAACACCUCAUCUCGGAGACUCCAAAGCCUCUGUUAUGACUGCAGUGCUUUUACUGUACAAACUAUUCUGCGCUCAUGGAAAUAUAACAACUACGCAAAACAAAGAUUUCUGGGUAUUUUUGUACUGUCAUUGCUCAGCGUGUAAGUAUCAAAUUAGUGUAUCUUUGGAUUGUGUUGGGUUAGAAUGUCUGAUUUUAAAAUUUGCUGUUUGAUCUGGAAACCUACUAUUUUGUAAGCCAAUUAAAAAUGUGAGUAUGAAAAAAGAGAGGGUUGGAAGGGACAUAUUCUGCACAGCUUGAUGCCAUUGUUCUUAGAAGCCAAGGCUGUUAAACAGAAAUCUCCCUGCCAGGUGUGGCCUACUCCUUAUAAAAUGUCAUUGGUCAGGCAUUGGUCAGGCAGGCCACAGAAGCCCCCAGACAAUACAGGCCCUCGCUCUUCCUCCUGGUUGUUCUCAAAUGCUAAGCAUUCUGUUGCUGAAGACACCACACACCUUGGUUGCGAGGUAUAGAGAAACGAAGCUAGAACUGAGCAAGAAGCUUCCUUCCUGCUGGCUCGCUUUCCUUUUGCUGGAAGGCGCUGUGGAGCUCACCAGAGGAGAAAAGGCCUAAGUGUUCUUACCCAGCUGUGAACUCAAUGAACUACAGUGCAAACUGUCAGGCAAGACAUGCCUACAGCGGCAAUAGUGGCACAAGUGUUAUGGGGCAACUAUCCUAUGACGUAGCUGAGCACUUCUCAGUAUGGUCCAGCUUCUAAUAACACGGUCCCACACCCUAUGGCAGUGAAGCAUUCUGUGAUAUGGCUGAGCAUAUAACUGCAUUCCAGACUAAGGCUGGGUGUCUUGUGGUAUGGUCCAGAAUUCCACAGUGGGUUUGACCAUUUCUGAAAGAUUCAUGAAGUCGAUGUGUUAGUCUUUGCAAGAUGUUUCACCUGUUUCCAUGGCAUAGUCUUGAGGUUUGGACUGUCUCCUUGAGGAGGGCUAUGUCUAUGCGUGUGCAUGUGUACAGAAACUUAAAAAUGUAUAAGCCACUAACUAGCAGCUCAUUUAAAAAUAAGCCUUUGGCUGCACUUGGAUCAUGGACCAUAGUCUAUUCUUCAUCUUUCUCAAGGUCACAAAAAGUUUCUCUGAUGCUCUUUCUUCAAGAGGCUUCAGACUCUCACACUUUGCUCCUAGAACAGUAGUCCACUCUGAGUUCGUUUCUGUGUGUCAUGGAGACUGGGCAUCAAGAUGCAACUUUACAUGCAUUGUUUCAGCACUGCCUGUUGGAAAGCAGGUUCCUCCUUCAUCAAAGAAGCACCUGCUGUGACAUCUUAAAAGAAGUCCCUUUACCAGAUUUGUGUGUCAGCUAUGGACCCUCUUCAGCUCCAUUGCUCAACGCUUUUAGAGCCUGUUUGGAGAUUUUGAGCCGGUUUAGAAAAAAAAAAAAAACUCGACACAGUCACGGACCCCCAGCAUCACCACCACGUCACCACCACCAUCAUAAUUUGCAAAUGUGUCUAGGGUUUGCUUUAAUGGCUCUUUGACAUUCUGGCAUGUGUGGUUACUCUACACAGGUUUUCCAUCGUAAGUGCCUCUCUAGACAGCUUCGUUCAUAGCUCUCUGUGUGUACCUGAGAAGUUGGCAGGGCAUCUUGACCCAUAGUAGACAUUACUGUCCACUGUCAAGCUGUCGGAAUCUGGUUAUAGGAAUGCUUACACUUCUGGUGUAUAGAGGUGAGAGGCCAGGGGAGGUGGACAUCAUGAUGGAUGAGUAUGUUUCGGAAGAAUCAGCCUCCAUCAUGGGCAAUAUUGAGGGCCCCAUCUGAGCACCCAUGGAGGUAAACUUUUACCCAACCUGGCAGAGGGUGAUGGUCUGGAUGUGGUUUGACCUCAAGAGGAUCACGUGCUUGGUCCUCGACUAAGCUGUGGGGCCUAGUGGAAGGGGUUAUGUCACGGUGUCUGCAUCACUAUCAGUGAGUCAGUGCCACCCUACAGUGGCGGUGGCAGUUCUCACAAGACUGGGUCACUAUAAAACAAGCCCCCUACCCCCAUGGACCCUUCUGGAUGCAUCUGAUUCCCUACCUCUUCCUCACUAUGCGGUGAGACAUGAACCCUCACCAAAGGCCAAUGCCAUGUUGUUUGGACCUUUCAGCUCUCUGGAUCAUGAGCCAAACAACCUCUUCUUUAUCAAGUGCUCAGGGUCCGACAUUUUGCAACAGCCAACACAAAAUGGAUUAAGGCUCUUAUAUGUAAAAACACUUCUCUUUUAAACAGAUAUAAUGUAAACUAAACGUACAUGCUGCACCUUCUCUGCAGAGCUCUGGAUGAAACCUCACGGAACUCAGAACUUUAUAAGAGAGACUAUUGUUCAGGUAGUUGAGUCACUGAUAGGCGAUGCUCUCGGGGUCUGGGCUGUGACAGUGUAUCACACCAUGUGGUUCCUGCUCCAUGAUGUCAAAGCCACCAGUCAGAAUAGCCCGCAGCUUGGCGUUCAUACUGGCCGGGUAGAUACUUCCUGUGGUAUUGAAGCAGUGGGCACUUCUGGCUGUGGGGUGGGUGCCUCUUGCAUGGUGACUGCCUCUUGUGAGUCCUCACCAGCUGUUGGCAUCCUGGCACACUUUGGGUUUGCUCCCGUGGUGGCGGGAAGCAGUGUGGGCUGCUAAUCUCAUGCUGUCCCGGUGGCUGCUGACUACACAGC